GCUCUCUGCCGGCCGUACCGCACGACAGCUGGCAGCACCGUCAGCCCCUGCUCGGGAGCUCGGAAGAUGCUCUAGCUCCGCGGCCAGUGCAGCGAACCCACCCAACCCUGGUGCAGGAGCCAUUGCAGCAAAUUGACAGGGAGUCCUCUGGGCCGGAAGUGGCCCUGGCCCUGCGCCGUAUGCUCUCUAGGACUGCAGGAGGCUCGGCAUCUCGGUGAUAGACCCAGGAAGUCAGUGGCUGGGCGGGGCGGGCUGUGAGGACUGAGGUCUGUAGCGAAGGUCCAGCCCCGUGGUCUUCGCUUCGUUCGGCAACGAACGCCCAGCGAAGGGACAUCCCUGUAGAAGUUCUGCUGCGUGUGGUCCAGCCGUCCCCACUCCUCCCGGGAGAGGUACAAGGCCACAUCCUCGAAAGUCACUGGCAUCUGAAACAAUGUGAAACAUCCACUCUCCAGGACAUGACGUGGACACGGUGGAGGGACACCAUGGCAUGAGAUGUGUGGUGAGACCCCGGACUCCCAACCCACUGUGUCGAGUGAGGCCUGCCACUUCCAUCUGAUCGGGAAGCAGGAGAGGACACAGAGACACAGAGAAGGAAGCAGAGACUGGAGGGAUGCCCACACCAAGGACACCAGGAGCCCCCAAGGAGUUGGAAGAGGUCUCAGUGCUUUUGCAAACCUUCUCUUCUACAACCCUCUCCUGCAAUACAUCUGGGAGGUGG
rnacentral:lncRNA from 10 species